CUGAAAAAAACAUAAAAUAAAAACAUAAGGCCAAUUACAAAUUGCCUAAGAAUAUUAAUAUCUUCCUCAUUCUAAAAGUUUCUUCUCCUGUAGAAGGUAGAACGGUAGUAGGUAAUAGGUAUUGAUCUCAAUUUGUGUGGAGCAGCCACUUAAGAAUAUUGUAAUGUAGAAGUUCCAUUGUGUCUUAAAAAAAGUAGAAAUUUUGCUGUGAGAGUUAUGUGUUUGCAUGUGAUUAAAACAAAUCAUUCUUUAUCACAUUUUUUUAGGGUCCGGGAAUGCCCUAAUCUGUAUGGAAUUCCACGCUAUUUCAUUACAUUUUAAUAUAAAUACUCAUUUAAAAAAAGCUUAAGAAGGUUCAUGGAGUACCUGUUUUAAUCUUUAUUUUUUUAAGCAUUUUUUUUUGUUUAUAUUGAUUAGCUGUCUAUGUCAAUGCUGUAAAAGCGAGCAACAGAGGAUCGAUGUAAAAGCUAAUGAUAUUUCCAUCGUAAUUCACAAUUCAAUUCAGAAUCUAUGGCUUCUCCAAGACAUGUUGAACAUUUUGAAGCAUGCAGCCAGCCAUAUAAUUUUCCACACUUUUACAAUCCCCAAACAACCACUGUUUGUCAACCAAAUAUUACACAUUUGUUAGAACAUUUUAGUAAUACACCUAGUAUUUAUCUAAAAUGUGAUCCUCUCAGUUAUGAAGAAGUCAUGAAACAGUCAUAGGGCGACAUUUAUUAUGCUGCGAAAAUAUUACCGUACAUAAAUACGCACAUGCACGCCUCAUUCCAAUGUAAUCCGCUUAUGGCGAUUAAAUAAUUUAGUCGCUUAUUUAUGAAGGUAUGCUUACAUUAUUUUUCUGACGAUUGGUUAGCGCACUGAAUCGUAAUUUGAUGCGGCUAUUAUUAUGUGAAAAUCAGCGAAUAAUGUGUGACGUGUUAUGUUACUGCGCAUGAGCAUUACCUCCGUUUUCGUAGCAUUCACUGGUGCUAAUGCGCAUGCUCUGGCAUUUACGUCAUGUUUUGUUAUAAGGCAUGGUUGAAAUUUUACGUAUCUUCGCAAACACACAUUUCUCAUUGUGAAGGAAUUGUAAUGGCGGCUGAUGAUAAUUCUGAAAGUGGUGGUCAUACAACAAAGGCCGGAAGAAAUAUCAAAUUCACCUUCGAUGAGAACUGCGCUUUGGUAGACAAGGUUGUUCAGUAUUAUGAUCACAUUUAUGGACAUUUAGCUCCAAAAACCUCUCAGGCCUGUAAAAGGAUAUGUGAAGCAGUUAAUGCAGUGGGUGCUCAUCCACGAACAAUUGACAAUUGCAAGAAAAGAGUCAGCGACAUAAAAAGGUUGUUGAAGAAAAAGUUAGCUGAAGAAAAGAAGUAUGCCCGUGGUACUGGAGGUGGUGCUCCACAUGAAAUACAUUAUUUGGAAUAUGAAGAAGAUUUUAAAAAGGUGAUGGGACCAGAUAUAGUAGAUGGCAUUGAUGGGCACAUUGACACUGGUGGUAAGUUUUCUUUUUAUUCUAUUUUUUCUUAUGUUCAUAUUUAUGUGCCCCUUUACAGCAGUUUACAUUCUUGUUUAAAGGAACAAAUUAAACAAUGAAACAAUGUACUGUUGCCCUGCACUGGUAAAACUACGCUGCUGUGUAGCCAUGUGGGCAGCCAUUCAAAGGGGAAACGGCGCUUAUGCGUUAUCUGCUAUCAACCUGGGCUAUUGAGCCAUAUUUAAAAUGCCCCAUGUUCUAUUGUUAUUUCUUUUAUUUAUUUGUUUUAUUUGAGUCUGCAGUUUCAUUAAGGUCUGUGGUGACUGGAAACCAUGAAAAUCCUACUCAGAUGUUAAAUUCCACUCAAGGUACAAGUUCAUCAGCAACCACUGGAGGACCUAGUGACAUAGAUGAUACCGAUCUUUCAAACCAACAUGAUGCUUCAGAGGACAACAUACUAUAUUCUAGUGAUUUCCCUGAUGUCCCAAAUGAUGAUGCUGGUUCAACUGUGACUUUGGUACUUGAACCUGUAUUGCAAAGUGAAGGGGAUCACAUGGACAACCCUGGUAGAACAUCCUAAUACAAGCGAAAACAAUGAUAGAGGAGAAAGUUCAGAUCUUCUUUUUCUCUCAAAAGUUGUUGAAAAUUUUAGUACCAAUACAAAUGCUGUGAGAAAGCUGGAAUUAAGGAAAAUAAAAAAGAUGAAUAAGGUUGAGGCUCACCUUAAAGUGUUAAAUCAACAUGUGUUAGAGAUUCGUAUACAGCACAGGGCAGAUUCUCAGAGAACCAAACAGUACCGUUCACGAAAGUUAUUUCUGAUGCAAGAGAAUAAUAAAAUAUUGCACAAGAUAUUACAGGAACCAAAACAAGUAAACCACUGUAAUCCUACUACUGAAGCUGUCUCUGCUGCUGCUUUGAGUUCACAAAAAUACAAUGCCCGCAUUGGUCCCAAUAAAAAUUAUAGCAAUGCUGCUAAAAUUACAUCUGAGACAGUUUUCACUAAAAAGAGAAAGAAGUAAAAAAAGGUGCAAAACACAAAUUUUGUUCCAUAGCAUGUUUUAUUUUUUGAAAGUUUGCUUUUCCAAAAAGUGCUCUUCUGAGUUGAAUAUUGACAUGGUUCCGUAGAAUUUACAUUGUCACAGAUAACUGACAUUGAAAAUUAGUAAUCCAUUUCUGACAUUUUCUGUGGGAAAAAAAGAAUAUGGUUAACAUUUGUUCAUUGUAAGCAAAAUAAAAAGUUUACAAAAACUUACAUCUGGUGUGAGUUGAUUAACUGCAUCCUCAUAUUUCUUCCACUGUCAUUAGUUUUAUUACAGCUGGAGCUUAACUGCUCUUGCACACAGAAUACGUUUCUAUGUUAGGCACACCAUGCUUUAAAGCCAGAUUAUGCAGAAUGCAGCACACUAUAAUGAUAUUUGUUAAUUUUUUGGGUGUGUAUUGUAGAACUCCUCCAGAUUUAUCUAGACAUCUAAAUCUGGCUUUUAACAAUCCAAAUGUUUUUUCAAUUACUGAUCAUGUGUUGCGAUGUGCUUCAUUGUAUUUCUCCUCAGCUUGUUAUUGUGGGUUUAGUACAGGAGUCAUGAGCCAUGAACGACAUCCGUAACCAGAGUCACCUUAGACAAUAAAGAAAGAAUAUAUACAUCAUAUAUACAAUAUAUGCAUUGAUAUACACAUUUUAC